AUACUUACCUGGACAGGGUCAACGGCUAAUCAAAAAGGCUCGUGCCCUAGAUCAAUGGCUCACAUUACACUUGGUGAGUGUGUUGGUCUACCAUCUCUCCAAGUGGGAGAGUGGAUGUCAUAAUUUGUGGUAGAGGGGGUAUGCGUUCGCGCGACCCCUAU
rnacentral:snRNA from 1 species